GUUAGACUGAAUAAUUUAUUUUUAAAAAUACUUGGAGAGCACUUUCUGAUUCUUCAUCCUGAUAUUAUAUACAGGUUGUAUUAAUAUAAAAUGUUCUCUGUCCCCACCAGAGCUUUCCAAGAAAGAAAAGCCUAAACACAAAACCAAACUUUAAAGCCCACAUUUGUUUUUAACUACUAGAAACACAUAUCCAUUAAAGGGUUAAGUUAGAAAAUAACUUGGGAUAGGAAGUUUUGAAUUUAUUAAAUAUCAUUAAUCUCUAAUAUUAAUUUAAAUCAUUAGUAUGUAAAUUCCUCCAAACAGGACAAGUAAACUAGAAAAUGACUUGGGUGUCCACGAUGAUGACAACACAGGGAUGACUGAGAGAACAAUUACUGGGAUGAUAGUGGCAAAAAUGAUGGGCUGGACAUGGCCAGUGGUGACUCAGAGGCUGGCUUGGAUCUGCACUUGGAUGAGAACAGCUCAGAAGGAGGAAUGAUGAAAUGUAUGCUGGUUUGUGAGUUGGAGCUUUCUCCCACUUUCCCUUCAGAGGACCUGAGAGAACAGAAUCUUAUUUCAUAACUGUUGGAGGUAGGAAUCUUUUAAUGAGAGAAUCUUGACAUAAAAAUAUCACAGUUUAUUUCUUAUCCUGAGAGAGGGUAAACAAUGAAAGAUUUCUUAUGUUUUCUAGUAAUGGUGGUGUUUUGGAUGAGCAAAAAUCCGAAUCUUUCUCUCAAUUUGGCAUGUGGCUAGUCAUUCUGUAUGAAACAAAAUUAAUGUUCCGGUAUUGUUCCAGGUUUCUAUGUGGAAAAAACCCAAAAACUUAAUGUUCUCAAAGGAAUUUUCUUUACAUAUCACUCCAGUUUAUCAUUCCCUCACAGAAUCAGAGAGUAGAAAGGACCCCUGAGUGUUCCUGUUACAACACUUUUGCUGCCUGGUAAUUGUAAUUAAUGAGACUAAAUGCCCAGAGUCUGUCCUCUGGGUGCUGCCUAUAUCUGUAGCAGCUUUAUCUUGUCCAGAUGCAGCAGAAAGUGCAGAAACCAGCAGCAGGGCUGAGCAAAAUGCCAGAACCAU
rnacentral:lncRNA from 1 species